GUAGGGAAUAUUGCGCAAUGGAGGAAACUCUGACGCAGCGACGCCGCGUGGGUGAUGAAGGCCUUCGGGUCGUAAAGCCCUGUCGGAAGGGAAGAAAAAUGAUGUGGCUAAUAUCCACGUCACUUGACGGUACCUUUAAAGGAAGCACCGGCUAACUACGUGCCAGCAGCCGCGGUAAUACGUAGGGUGCUAGCGUUGUUCGGAAUCAUUGGGCGUAAAGCGCGUGUAGGUGGUUAAGUAAGUCGAAUGUGAAAUCCCUCGGCUCAACCGAGGAAGUGCAUCCGAAACUACUUAGCUAGAGGACGGUAGAGGAAGGUGGAAUUCCUAGUGUAGAGGUGAAAUUCGUAGAUAUUAGGAGGAAUACCGGUGGCGAAGGCGGCCUUCUGGGCCGUUCCUGACACUGAGACGCGAAAGCGUGGGGAGCAAACAGGAUUAGAUACCCCUGUAGUCC
rnacentral:rRNA from 1 species